AAUAUCAAGGGAGCUAUAAAGGGAUGCCCCUAUAUUGCCUCUCAUUCUGUAGUUGGUAUUCAGUGAGGUUGCACUUGUUCCUGUAAAAAGGAAUAGUUUCGUUCAGGAUUUGAAAUUUUCCUAAGUUCUCUGUUUGGUGACAUGUAUAAACAGAGGUAGACUAUAAGGUUCCACCAUUCUUGAUUGAAAAUAGAUAUUAUAUUUAUCGAAUUGAAUAUGUGAUUGGAUGUAAUCAUUGGAUAUUCUAAACCUUUCUAAUCAAUGGUAAUCACUCCUACUAUAAGAACUGAUUCCAAACCCCUGAUGAAGUCCUAACGGACGAAACGCGUUGGGUUUUGCAAUGUCUGGUUAACAAAGUCCUUAUCACAAACAUCUGGUUGGAGAUACAUCCAUUUCGAGUUCUGACUGUGAUCACCUGGCUGUAAAAUCCUCACAUCCAACUGUAAUUUAUGUAUAAGAUUGUAAUAUUGUUUUAUAUGAAUUUUUAGAAGGUUGUGUCAAUAA